GAGUUUGAUCCUGGCUCAGGACGAACGCUGGCGGCGUGCCUAACACAUGCAAGUCGAACGGAGUAUAUUUUCUAGCUUGCUGGCAGAUAUACUUAGUGGCGCACGGGUGAGUAACACGUGGGCAAUCUACCCGGAAGACUGGGAUAACAGUGCGAAAGUGCUGCUAAUACCGGAUAUUUUCACGAAGUCGCAUGACUUUGUGCAGAAAGUUUUUCGCUUCCGGAUGAGCCCGCGUCCCAUUAGCUAGUUGGUGAGGUAACGGCUCACAAAGGCGACGAUGGGUAGCUGGUCUGAGAGGACGAUCAGCCACACUGGAACUGAGACACGGUCCAGACUCCUACGGGAGGCAGCAGUGGGGAAUCUUGCGCAAUGGGCGGAAGCCUGACGCAGCAAUGCCGCGUGAACGAUAAAGGCCUUCGGGUCGUAAAGUUCUGUCAAGGGGGACGAUAAUGACGGUACCCCUGGAGGAAGCCCCGGCUAACUACGUGCCAGCAGCCGCGGUAAUACGUAGGGGGCGAGCGUUGUCCGGAAUUAUUGGGCGUAAAGGGCGUGUAGGCGGCCGAUCAAGUCAGGUGUGAAAUUCCAGGGCCCAACCCUGGACGUGCACAUGAAACUGGUUGGCUUGAGUGCAGAAGAGGAAAGUGGAAUUCCCAGUGUAGCGGUGAAAUGCGUAGAUAUUGGGAGGAACACCAGUGGCGAAGGCGACUUUCUGGUCUGUAACUGACGCUGAGGCGCGAAAGCUAGGGGAGCAAACAGGAUUAGAUACCCUGGUAGUCCUAGCCGUAAACGAUGGGUACUAGGUGUAGGGGGUUUAGACGCCCUCUGUGCCGCAGUUAACACAUUAAGUACCCCGCCUGGGGAGUACGGCCGCAAGGCUGAAACUCAAAGGAAUUGACGGGGGCCCGCACAAGCGGUGGAGCAUGUGGUUUAAUUCGAUGCAACGCGAAGAACCUUACCAGGGUUUGACAUGCCGGUGGUACGGAGUGGAAACACGAAGGACCUUUCGGGGAGCCGGCACAGAUGGUGCAUGGUUGUCGUCAGCUCGUGCCGUGAGGUGUUGGGUUAAGUCCCGCAACGAGCGCAACCCUUGCUUCUAGUUGCCAGCGGGUAGUGCCGGGCACUCUAGAGGGACUGCCGUCGACAAGGCGGAGGAAGGUGGGGAUGACGUCAAAUCAUCAUGCCCUUUAUAUCCUGGGCUACACACGUGCUACAAUGGCCGGUACAACGGGAGGCUAAGGCGUGAGCCGGAGCAAAUCCCAAAAAGCCGGUCCAAGUUCGGAUUGCAGGCUGCAACUCGCCUGCAUGAAGUCGGAAUCGCUAGUAAUCGCAGGUCAGCAUACUGCGGUGAAUGCGUUCCCGGGCCUUGUACACACCGCCCGUCACACCACGAAAGUCGGCAACACCCGAAGUCGGUGACCCAACCUGUGAGGGAGGGAGCCGCCUAAGGUGGGGUCGGUGAUUGGGGUGAAGUCGUAACAAGG
rnacentral:rRNA from 1 species